ACCCCAUUAAAAAAAAGUUGUAAGUCAAAAACAGAGUGCUUAAUCUGAUUUAUGGGAGGCCAAGAGCAAGCUCUGUGGAAGUUUCGCUGAUAACGCCUCUUCUCUUUUCUAAGAAGGCGUUUACUAGUAGCUUUUCCAUACGUUU